GUUCGUGACCAGUCGGCUACGAAGCAGGACUUGUUCUGACUUCGCCGGAGCCGCAAAAUAGUUGUCAAAAUGGCGGGUGAAGGUUCUGCAAGUGCGAAUCCAAAUUGCGAAGUCGUUCGUGGACAAACGUUCGAGGUUGGGCCACGAUAUACGAAUUUAUCGUACAUGGGCGAGGGUGCCUACGGGAUGGUCGUAUCUGCUUAUGAUAAUGUAACAAACACAAAGGUAGCUAUAAAAAAAAUUUCUCCCUUUGAGCAUCAAACAUAUAGUCAAAGAACAUUAAGGGAAAUAAAAAUUUUGACUAGGUUUAAGCAUGAAAAUAUAAUAGAUAUAAGGGAUAUAUUAAGGGCACCUACUAUAGAACAAAUGAAAGAUGUAUAUAUUGUUCAAUGUCUAAUGGAAACUGAUCUAUAUAAACUUCUCAAAACACAGGCUAUUAGUAAUGAUCACAUAUGCUAUUUUCUUUACCAAAUAUUAAGAGGAUUAAAGUACAUUCAUUCUGCAAAUGUACUACACAGAGACUUGAAGCCAAGCAACUUGCUAUUAAAUACCACAUGUGACCUUAAAAUCUGUGAUUUUGGUUUAGCUAGAGUUGCUGAUCCAGAACAUAAUCAUGCUGGUUUUCUUACUGAAUAUGUAGCAACAAGGUGGUAUAGAGCUCCAGAAAUAAUGCUUAAUUCCAAGGGCUAUACUAAGUCUAUAGACAUUUGGUCAGUUGGUUGCAUUCUUGCAGAAAUGCUUUCAAGGAGAGCAAUAUUUCCUGGCAAACACUACUUAGACCAACUGAACCAUAUAUUAGGAGUUCUUGGAUCACCAUCUCCUGAGGAUCUUGAGUGCAUCAUAAAUGAAAAAGCACGAAAUUAUCUUCAAUCAUUACCAUUUAAACCAAAGGUUCCAUGGACAAGUUUAUUUCCAGAUGCUGAUCUUCGAGCUUUGGAUUUGUUAGAUAAAAUGUUGACAUUUAAUCCUAACAAACGGAUUGUUGUGGAAGAUGCACUUGCGCAUCCGUAUUUAGAGCAAUAUUACGAUCCAGAUGAUGAACCGGUUGCAGCGGAACCGUUUAAGUUUGACAUGGAGCUAGAUGAUCUUCCAAAAGAAGUGUUGAAACAAUACAUCUUCGAAGAAACUCUAUUAUUCCAAAAGAAUCAUCAAGAAAACGUUAUGUAGUCUACUGCUGCGGCGAGCCUGCAGGACGACCGAAAAGGAGGCGAAGGUGUGACGUCAGAGUAACAGAAGUGUACUUCUUUUACAGUUAUCUACAAUGGAAGCAAGAAAGAAAAAAGAAAAACAAAGAAGACAGAACAAAAUGAAACUUUUACGAAAACGUUUUAUCGGAGCAUGGCUUAAAAGUCGAGCUACAAGACAUACACACAGGCGAAUUUGAGAAGGGAGCGGUGAAUGAGUUGAUACAUCUUCCCCGAAGAAACAUGUCGUGGCAAAUGGGUAAAAUAAUAAUCGAGCUAGGUACACGAACGUGUCGUCGAUGGUGAAUGACGAGAAAUCCGAUUGUGAUAGCUAGACUGCGGAUUAUUUAUACAUUUAUGGGAAAUUUAAGGAUGCAAAAAUGUAUAAUAUAUCCAAAAUGCAUUACUUAAAUUAUAACGAUUAACAGGUGAGACAAAUAUCUGCUUAGAUUCCAUUUUUUCAGUUAUACUUGCAAAAAUAUUAUUUUACUGCAUAAAUAUCCGCAGUCCAGUGAUAACUUAGGGACGAAUUCGAGCGAUAUCGAGGCACAAAUAAGAGACGAGCAAUUUACUUCAUCAUCUACUUUUAUUUUUCUAAAAAUCAUAAUUAAAGAAACAAAAAAUCUCUUGUAUGAGACGAGUAUGUUUCAUCAUAUUCCAAUGACAAUCGGAUGAUUUUCAAGAUGGCGAGGACACGCUUAGAAUACUUAUUUAAAGAACAAAAAGAGGAACCAGUACUAUUCUUGUCUUCGAAAUUAAAGUCGAAAUCAAAGACAAGAAAGUAAGCGGUUAAAAUCUUAUUAAAUAAGUGGAAGAGAGAUAAUGUAAGCGAGAAUGAGAUACCAAGAAAGCGAUAGAAAAGUUAAUAUAGAAAGAGAGCGCAAAACGAACGAUCCAGAGUGUAAAACACUAUUUGCCUCCCUCGAUUAUCAGAUCUCACGUUCUUCGAUAUAAUCUAAUAAAAUAAUUCUCCAUUAAUAAACACAUGUCAGUGGUAUGUUGUAUAUUCAUAAAAUAAUUUACUCGAAGCAGAAAGAGAUAGGCAUCGAUGCGUUUGUUUCCCUCAAAGUUAAGAAGUUUCAUCUGUGGAAAUAACGAAGACUCUUCGUUGCCUUCGAUUUCGAGUAUCCUUUUUCACGAUUUAACUAACUCGAGAGAGAAAGAAAGAGAGGAAGAAUGUUGUAUUAUUCUCCUCGAGUGUCCUUUUCCAUUUCUCAGCAUAUUUUUAUGCUUUACAGAGCAUUGAAGGAUUUAUCGGAUUAUCGAUUUAGCCUUGUCGCUGCUUUUAUAUCCGGAACCUUGUGAGAAAUAACAAUCUACCGAAGGAGAAUUUAAUAUUUCAUUGUAGUCAAAGAGAUAUUACAGGAAUUUUCAUAUGAGACUUCUAAUAAUUUACGAUUGAUCUUCGUAGCUUGAAAUUUGGAAUUUUCACAAGCAUAUGAAAUUUUUCGUUUAAAAAUAAUAAUGAAUAGUCAGAAUUUGAUCAAAAGUUUCAAUAAAUGUAUAAUUGAAAGGUAAUGAGAUUAUCCUUUGUCUUAUUCCAGGAAAACAAAAAUAUACUCUAGCCAUUUUUAAUUUCUGUCAAGUAUAAUUCAAUCAAUUUUAACAAACUAUUUAUUAUAUUAUACAGUUGUAAAUGUGUGUGCAUUAUAUCAUAGAAGAUCUAACGUCUUUAAUUUCUGUUUAAUACGUCACAAUUUUUGCAAUUGUAAAAAUGAUUAUAAAUAUAUCUGUAAUUAUAUCAUAGAAGAUUUAACUGUUCAAUAUAUUUCAGUACACUUCAAUUUUCUAAAUUUCUCUUCAUUUUAGGCUUGCUUUUAUUUUUAAUUAUAUCAUAUUAAAAUCUUCCCGUUUAAUCAUAAGGUUGCAUUACAAAAUCAUAAAACCAACGAAAAUGUACUUAUUACAUUUUUCUCCUCUAAUCUUUAUAUUCAGACAAAGUUUCUGUGUGUUCAAAUAUCUUCGUGAAUCACUGUAGUUACAGAGAAGAAUCUAAUCUGAUAUCUCUUUACAAUUCCGCGUCCUUGUGACUGCAACUAUAUCUUUGAUGUCGUACAAAUCUUUCAACGGUGAUUUCACCGAUGUAAAUUAACAAUCAACCGAUUACGUGUCAUACGUUUUUCAUGCUGGGAAAAUUCCUUCGUUUACUAGUUUUCCGCGCAAGCGAGAAAUCUCGAAGAGGACAUUCGUUCGUUUGAAAUAUGUAUACCGUUCAUAUUAAAUCCUCAAUGUGAAACGUUCCACUCCGUGCUCACAAUAUGCCUGAUGAUACUGAGAAUUUAUUUAAUUUCACUCUUCGAUGAAUUUACUAUCUGUCAAAUACACACGAAUUUCUCUAAAAUAACUAACUUAAUUCAUUAAAUUGUCAGUAUCUCCGCAUGUUUCGAGCAAUAGUCUAGCAAAACAAGUUCAUUCAAUACAAAAAAAAAGAUUUCGGAGAUGUCUGUGGCUCUUGUUCACGUUUCUACAUUCUGCCUCCCUUAAUGAAUUGUGCAAUAAAUUUCUAUAAAAAGAAUAAAUCAUCGUCUAUCGAAAUUAUAAAAAAAGAAAAAGAAAAAGGAAAGUGAUGGACACAAAAGAAAUAUAAUGUUCCCUCAAAGCUUCAUUAAUUUCUUAUAAAAAAUAUAAAUUAAAGAAUAAUUCAUAUAUAAUCUUCCCUCCCUCGUAUGCAUUUCGAUUUUAUCUUCGAAGCUUAAAUAAAUAAAGAAAUAUCUUCAAGCGUUACACGCGUGAAGCUGAUUUUUGAAAGACGUUUAUAUAUGUCCGAAUCUUUCUGCGUGUACAGUUGCUAUGUGUCCGAAUUUCGUAACUCAAUCUGUGUAUGUAUUUAAGACGUUAAUUCUCAGAGUCUCAAAAAGUAGAUGCGAACGAUUAGCGAACCGCGAAAUGUUUGUCGAAUAAUUUUCACGAGCUACCUCGAUAGACCGAGGGGACAUUGUAACGAGUCGGCUGGCUGACUAUGACGAUAUCGGUGUUCCAAAUUCGUUUCCAACGUGAAAAUUGACUUAAACAAACAAAAAUGGAAAACUGAUAAAAAAAAGAGGAAAAACUUACAAGUCAGAGUAUAAGCAUAAAGUUCAGACAUUAUCAAACGAAACAACAAAACUAGAUUGACUUGUAAGUUUUCAUUACAAUUUAUAUUAUACUGUUCAUCUAAUAAGCGGUGAGACGAAUCUUUAAAGAUCUUUCUGUUCGUUUAUAUACGUAAGAAGGACGAGAUCAAUAUCAAACGUGAAGUAUUAAUGAAAUGUAUUAAGAAACAAAGUUGCGAUGCAUUUAAAUUCCACAAAGUUUCGAGUUCGUGUCUGUUCUCUUCUCGGUAUAUGAAAUUUGAUGUUUAAUUAAGAACGAUUAAUAAAUGCAAGAAAUAUUGUACAUUUGCUGUGAUCGUGUAUCAAGUAUCGUACCUUGUGCAAACGUACAAAUUUCACGGGACGUCAUCAAAUGUAAACCUGUUGUCGGAUAUUCUUAAGAAUCCAUAACGGCUGCUGAUGUAAUUAAAAAAAUAUCAUUAAAAAAUGAGGAGGAAAAAAUUUUGAUAACAUUGGGACACCAUUAUCGCGAAGAAAGAGACACAUAGGAUGCAAGUAAAAUGCGAGCAACGAUAGAUUGUAGCGUUUAAUAUACAUUGAUAGAAUUAUUAUCAAUACCAUCAGGCCUAAUAUACUUAAACGUUGCGUGUAUUUGUUGUUGUUGCCGAUUCAUAUCUUAUAUAUCCGAAUAUAAAAAGAAUAUUUCGUCUAUGGAUUUUAAAUGUUAUACGUCAUUUAUGAGAAAACAAAAAGAAUAAAAAAAGAGAAGAAAAAGAAGAAACAAGACGAAGAGAAUGAAAAAAAGAGUACGAAAGUAAUACGAAGAAAGCGAAAAUGGCGUUUAUCGAUUGGCUUAACAAAGGGAAAAGUAUUAAAUUAAAAAAUACAUCAACAGUUUUUAUGUAGGAUAGACGAAAGGGAUCCUCGAUAUCUUGCACGAUUGCCUUUUAGCAAACGAGAUUGAUAUUUCUGAUUCUGAAGCAAACAAGGAGAAAUGAAUAUUAGUUGGCGAGAACUAGUUCACGAAUCUAGUAGAUCUUACACGUGAUGAAACAUAUAAAAAUGUAGAUAUAAUAAUAUUAGAUAAAUUCAAGUCACGGUUAGCAAAUGUAGUUACCAAAUGGUUUUCACACGAUUUUAGAUAAAUAUGUAAGUUAAAAAAAACUGUCACACGCUUUAAUAGCGUCAAAAAUAUCGCAUCUCGUUUGUUAAUGCAUUAAAUUACCUCGUGCCUCCAAGCUGCAUUCAUAGAAUCUAUCAUUUUCAAUAUUUUGAGCUUCCAUUUAGUCAUUUGUAAUGUGAUUAAUUAUUUUUCUUGGAAUCCUUUUAAAUAUUUUUUAUUUAAUAUAUUGCAGUAGAAUAAUUUUUAUUUGAGACCGUAAGCAGUACAAAAGUGAGAUUAAAUUAACGUAGAGAAUCAAAGUAGCGGCUAGAAACCUAUGAAUGCGGCUAAAAGAAUAUUCCGAUAAUCCACUGUGUUCUUCGAACGAUAAAUCUUUCUUUUUUUUUUUCUUAUUUUUCUUUCUCAAAUUACUUCAGCCGAAUAUUUCUCUGACUAAUUGUUAUUUGUGUAAAUGAUAAAUAUAUAUAUAUAUAUAUAUUAUACAUAUAUAUGUACUGAAAUCAUAAUUAUCGAUUAUUGUAUUUUAAAAUGACUAUUCAAAGUAUUAUCGUGCUAAUAUAAAAGCGGCUUUAUUGGUCAAUUAUUCGGAAUCGAUGUCAUAAUUAUUCUUAUCCCUAUUUCUUCUAAACUCGAAGAUACAGAAUAUUCAUAUAAUUUUGUCCAUUUGUCAUAUUUUUUACAUUUUGUUGGAUAUGUGCAAAAAUUACACAAUGGUCAUUAAUUAUUACGCAACAAAAAUUUCAUUCUAUAAUUGAAAUCAAAGAGGGCUGGUUAACUGGCAUUAUAAAAUUGCAUCUCUUUUUCAUUUAAUGUUCACGUCUAAGAAAUCACAGCUUUCGAAACAUUUUAUUAGUUAUUACGUACGUAAGGAAAAUAUAUUUUAAAUGCUUAGCACGUAUAGUCUCGGUACAAGGUAUUAGUAUUAGUCUCGUACAAUUUUAUUUUUAUUUACAACCGUUCGAGUAUUUUUCCUCACUUUUCAUUGGCUUUUUUAGCUGAUGUAAUCACCGAAGACAAAACAGAUUAUAAAACCACUAUAUAUCGUUUCGAUGUGCAAUUAAUUAAAUAUUCGUUUGCAGAAUUUCUUUUUGUACGAUAAGGUAUAAAUUUAUUUCUCUGUUAAUUAUGAGGUAUCCGAAAAUAUCUUUUUUUUUCAAUUGCAAUUAUAAAAUGCACGAUUCUCAGCAAAAGUGUUAAUUGUACAAACGAAUAUUUAAAAAUAUGUCCUAUCUUUCUCAGUACGCAAUGUGUUAAUCGAAAAACUUUUUUAUUAUUAUCUAUAUCCUAGAUAAUAUUUAUAUACACUCCAGGAAGCACCCAUUACCCGCUAAUUUAUAUUUUAUCGCAUUUUAAAAAUAGGAAGAUGAUACUUGAUUAUCAAUAUGUGCAAAAUGUUAACAUUAGUCGUAUUAAAAGAUUAAUGUACGAUCCAUACUUAUAAUUGUGUAAUAUGAAUAAAAAAUAUGGGGAGAUUUUAUACCCAGAAAUAUCUA